UGGGGAAUUUUCCGCAAUGGGCGAAAGCCUGACGGAGCAAUACCGCGUGAGGGAGGAAGGUUCUUGGAUUGUAAACCUCUUUUCUUAGGGAAGAAGAAAGUGACGGUACCUAAGGAAUAAGCAUCGGCUAACUCCGUGCCAGCAGCCGCGGUAAUACGGAGGAUGCAAGCGUUAUCCGGAAUUAUUGGGCGUAAAGAGUCCGUAGGUGGGAGUUCAAGUCUGCUGUCAAAGAGUGUAGCUUAACUACAUAAAGGCGGUGGAAACUGAGCAACUAGAGUGAGGUAGGGGUAACGGGAAUUCCCAGUGUAGCGGUGAAAUGCGUAGAUAUUGGGAAGAACAUCGGUGGCGAAAGCGCGUUACUGGGCCUAAACUGACACUGAGGGACGAAAGCUAGGGUAGC
rnacentral:rRNA from 1 species